rnacentral:rRNA from 1 species
UAGCUUGCUACACCAUAAACUGUGAGUUGCGAACGGGUGAGUAACGCGUAGGUAACCUGCCUGGUAGCGGGGGAUAACUAUUGGAAACGAUAGCUAAUACCGCAUAAUAUUGAUUAUUGCAUGAUAAUUGAUUGAAAGAUGCUAUUGCAUCACUACCAGAUGGACCUGCGUUGUAUUAGCUAGUAGGUGAGGUAACGGCUCACCUAGGCGACGAUACAUAGCCGACCCGAGAGGGUGAUCGGCCACACUGGGACUGAGACACGGCCCAGACUCCUACGGGAGGCAGCAGUAGGGAAUCUUCGGCAAUGGACGAAAGUCUGACCGAGCAACGCCGCGUGAGCGAAGAAGGUUUUCGGAUCGUAAAGCUCUGUUGUAAGAGAAGAACGGGUGUGAGAGUGGAAAGUUCACACUGUGACGGUAUCUUACCAGAAAGGGACGGCUAACUACGUGCCAGCAGCCGCGGUAAUACGUAGGUCCCGAGCGUUGUCCGGAUUUAUUGAGCGUAAAGCGAGCGCAGGCGGUUAGAUAAGUCUGAAGUUAAAGGCCGUGGCUUAACCAUAGUACGCUUUGGAAACUGUUUAACUUGAGUGCAGAAGGGGAGAGUGGAAUUCCAUGUGUAGCGGUGAAAUGCGUAGAUAUAUGGAGGAACACCGGUGGCGAAAGCGGCUCUCUGGUCUGUAACUGACGCUGAGGCUCGAAAGCGUGGGGAGCGAACAGGAUUAGAUANCCUGGUAGUCCACGCCGUAAACGAUGAGUGCUAGGUGUUAGGCCCUUUCCGGGGCUUAGUGCCGCAG